rnacentral:siRNA from 1 species
GCGAGGUUGUAGUUGAUGUUGA